CCCCGCCGCAGUUUUUCAGGUGCACUGUCGAUAACGGAAAUAAUAAUAAUAUUAAUAGCAAUACGAACGCAAUGUAUUAUUGCCGAGCGUGUACACAGGUCGAUGUCGUCACGUGCAAAACAUAAUACCCGGAGCGCAGUAAGUUUACAACAUAAUAAUGCGCGAUAGAUAAAAGACAUCGGUACAAUGCGUUUAAUUUCCCGUCGAUAAUCGUCGAGGUUGUAUACGAUACGUCUCAUUAGACGCUGUUUUUGAUAAGUUCUCCGCGAGGUCAGUGUGUAUUUGUUUUGCGGCGUACGCGGGCAACGUAAAAACGUCAUCUCAUCGCCUCGGCCGCGAUCCGAAACGACUGCAAUUUAUCAUUUUUGACCAACUGUAACGGGCACGCAAUAGCUAUUUUACGCACACGCAUAAUCGCUAUACGUAUACACGGACAGAUUGUUAUAUAAUAUUUAUCGUCGUUUCGCUUGGACUUUUUCGGGUUUUUUCGUCCUCAUUUAAGACGUAUACGCGCACUGUCGAACGGUCACUGAGAUAUCGU